UCAGUUCCCCUAGGCCUUAAAAGUGGAUGCCCUCAGUCAAGGAGGCUUUUCACUUUUUAUGCCUGUGACCUUGCCUGGUGUCAAAGAGCAACUGCUCCUACCGACGGACAGACAGCCAUUUAAAAUCACAGCAAGAGUCAUAUAACUCUUUAUGCACAAAAAAGAAACGUGAGAACAAACAUUGUGCAGGAGAGCUCCCGGUUUUGUUCAUCGUUUGAGAAUUAUUUGGAUCACUUUUGAAGGAUGCAUAUGGAUUGCAUGUGUGGAGUUUCACCACGUUUUGUGCACAUGUGAGGACUGGAUAUGUAAAUUUAGAAUUAAUAUUACUUAAUUUAAUGAUUUAUGGCCCAGAGUGUUUUCCAGUUUAGUGAAUAAGUGUAAUACAUGUUAUAUGUGAAAACAUGUGUCAUGAGAAUUGUAUCAUUUUAAACUGUUAUACAUGUCCUUAAAGCCUGGUUAAUAAUGCAUAAAAUGCUUUGAGUGAUUUAAGCGAGUACUUAAAUGCAUAAAAUGCUUUGAAUGAUAUACGCAUGUAUUAAGUAUGUGUUGAAGUACAGUUCUGUGAAAAAGUAUUUGCCCCCUUCCUGAUUUCUUCUAUUUUUCAUACUAAAUAGUUUUAGAUCUUCAAACAAGAUAUAACAUAAAACAAAGGCAACCUGAGUAAAGACAUAAUACAGUUUUUAAAUAUAUUUAUAUUAUUUUUUUUAUUUUUUAUUUUUUAAACCCAUGUGAAAAACUAACUGCCCCCUUAAACUUAAUAGCUGGUUGUGCCACCUUUAGCAACAGCAACUGCAACCAAACGCUUCCAAUAACUGGAGAUCAGUCAUUCACAACACUGUGGUGGAAUUUUGGCCCACUCUUCUUUGCAGAACUGCUUUAGUUCAGCAACAUUGGAGGGUUUUCAAGCAUGAACUGCCCGUUUAAGGUCCUGCCACAGCAUCUCAAUUGGGUCCAAGUCAGGACUUUGACUAGGCCACUCCAAAACUUUAAUUUAGCUUCUUUUGAGACAUUUAGAGGUGGACUUACUAGGGAUGUGCCCGAAGCCGUAUACCUUAUUCGGAAAGGCACAAAUAAUGACUUCAAAAUGAAUAACGGAUUCAUUCGAAUAAUAGAAACAAUUUUCGUUUGACUGAUUAUCCAAGAAGCACAAGGGUAAAGCAAUAUUUUAAAUAAACAAAUCCAAAAUUACAAAGAAAUUAUGAAUCUGUGAAGUCAAUAUUAGUAGCCUACUAAAGUGUAAAACGUAGGAAUGAAAAUGCGCAUGGUGUGAUUCCAGAUCAGAUGAGCACGGUCUCGAUGGCAUCUGGAGCUUGUCAAGUGUAACAACUAAGACACUACAUCAUAUAGGCUACAUUUUUAUCCACUCCUUAGAAUUCAAUGAAUUAAUUUAUGAACCAACCUGAGUGCAAUGUAAAAUUCCUGACCUUAAGUGAUGAUUUCACAGCAGAGCUCGUCUAUUCACCUCUAAAAGUUGACCACAUUUAUUUUCACAUCACCAAUUAAAGUAAGUAUCUGGUUAAGACUUUAUCUAAAAAAGUUUAAAUGCUCCAUAAACUGUACAUCUAUUCAGAAUAUGCCUGUUCAUGUGAUAAAAAGAAACCGAGACCAGCACAACCUUUUUUCCCCUCCCUUUAAAUUACUAAAUUUGAAUUAUUAUUAUUAUUAUUAUUAUUAUUAUUAUUAUUAUUAGACUAUUAUUAUUAUUUUCCCACUAUUUCGCUAAUUCUGUACAUGUAAUUUAACUUAAUAAUUAUGUCCUCCACAUCCACUUCUUUUAAUGUUUGUAUUUAAUGUUCGCUGCAAAAUGUGUGCUUGACAUUUUACAAUUGCUUGACACCUUGUGCCUCAGUUAACAACAUAUUCUAAAAUAAAAUAAAUUAAUAAUAUAAUGAAAUAAUAACAGCACAAUAAUAAUAAUACUCAUAGUAAUAAUAAUUAGUAUUAUUUUUAUUAGGCUAUUAUUAUGAAUAGGCAUAUAUACAGCAUAUUUAAUUUAUAGAAACUUAAUGUAAUAGAGAUACAUUUUAACAAUGGGUAUUUCAUUUUUGUCCCACUUCCAGUUUGAGCCCCACCCACAUUCAGAUCUAUCCGAAUACAGAUACAAAUACAGAUAAUGGCUGCACUGCACACCCCUAGAACUUACUUCUAUGCUUUGGAUCAUUGUCUUGCUGCAUAACCCAGUUGCGCUUGAGCUUCAAUUCACGGACUGAUGGCCGGACGUUCUCCUUUAGGAUUUUCUGGUAGAGAGCAGAAUUCACAUGUUACUCAAUUAUUGCAAGUUGCCUUAGCCCUGAAGCAGCAAAGCAUCCCCACACCAUAACACUACCACCACCAUGCUUGACCAUAGGUAUGAUGUUCUUUUUGUGGAAUUCUGUGUUUGAUUUACCCUUCCCAGACUGAUUGAUAUAUUUCAAUCACCUUUUUCCUCAUCAUUUCUGGAAUUUCUUUCAACCUUGGCAUAGUGUGUUACUGGGUGAGACGUUUUAGCCAAAUUCAUGCUGCUGAAAAAGUUCUAUUUAGGUGUUGAUUUGAUUGAACAGGGCUUGCAGCAAUCAGGCCUGGGUGUGUCUAGUCUAACUGAACCCCAUCAUGAAUGCAGUUUCAUAAAUUUGGGGAUUUAGUGACUAAGGGGGAAAAUACUUUUUCACACAGUCCCAGUUGGUAUUGGAUAACCUUUUUGCUUCAGUAAAUAACAUUAUCAUUUAAAAACUGUGUUUACUCAGGUUGCCUUUGUUUUAUGUUAGAUUUUGUUCAAUUUUUUUUUUAACAAUUUGAUAUGAGAUGUACACAAAAACAGAAAUCAGCAUGUAUGUAUUUUCAUUUGAUAUUGGCCUCUACUGUAUUUCACUAUCGUAUUUCAUUUUCAUUUUUCA